AGGGCUCACGGAGGAUGCCUAGGCAUAUGAAGUCGAUGAAGGACGUGGUAAGCUGCGAUAAGCCUCGGUUAGGUGCAAACAACCGUAUAUCCGAGGAUUUCCGAAUGGGAGAACCCACCUCAAGUAAUGUUGAGGGACUUUCACUUGAAUAUAUAGAGUGAAAAGAGACAACGGAGGGAAGUGACACAUCUCAGUAUCUCCAGGAAAAGAAAACAAUAGUGAUUCCCCUAGUAGCGGCGAGCGAAAAGGGACAAGUCUAAACCAGCAUAGCUUGCUAUGUUGGGGUUGCGGGAUAUAAUUUGAGUUUACUCGACGAGUCAGAAAAUAGUUAGUUAGAAGAAUGAAUCAGGAAAGUUUCAGCCAUAGAGGGUGAUAGCCCCGUAUUCGAAAAUUAACUAUCUCGUUUGAUUAUACUCCCAAGUAGGGCGGAACACGAGAAAUUCUGUCCGAAUCUGUCAGGACCACCUGAUAAGACUAAAUACUCUCAUAUGACCGAUAGUGAAGAGUACCGUGAGGGAAAGGUGAAAAGUACCCCGAGAGGGGAGUGAAAUAGAACCUGAAACCGUGUGCCUACAAGCGGUCGGAGUCUCAUUAGAGAUGACGGCGUGCCUUUUGCAUAAUGAGCCAGCAAGUUACUCAUACGUUGCAAGGUUAAGUUUAAAUUACGGAGCCGUAGGGAAACCAAGUCUGAACAGGGCGACUAAGUAACGUGUGGUAGACGCGAAACCAGGUGAUCUUACCAUGGGCAGGUUGAAGCCUCAGUAAAAUGAGGUGGAGGACCGAACCGACUUGGGUUGAAAACCGAGCGGAUGACCUGUGGUAAGGGGUGAAAGGCUAAUCAAACCUGGUGAUAGCUCGUUCUCCUCGAAAUAUUUUUAGGAAUAGCGUUGUAUUAUAGUAUCAUGGAGGUAGAGCACUGAUUGGGCUAGGGCGCAAUACCCGCGUACCAAACCCAUUUAAACUCCGAAUGCCAUAGAUAUGUUCUACAGCAGUCAGGCAGUGUGAGAUAAGUUUCAUUGCCAAGAGGGAAACAACCCAGACCAACAGCUAAGGCCCCAAAAUUCAUACUCAGUGACAAAGGAUGUGAAUUAGCUAAGACAGCUAGGAGGUUGGCUUAGAAGCAGCCAUCCUUUAAAGAAAGCGUAAUAGCUCACUAGUCAAGGUAAUUUGCGCCGAUAAUAACCGGGACUUAAGUAUGAUGCCGAAGCUUUGGUUCUUACGCUUGCGUAAGAAGGUAGAGGAGCGUUCCAUUAACCUGCGAAGGUUGCUUGUGAGAGUAGCUGGAGGAGAUGGAAAUGAGGAUGCUGGCAUGAGUACGCGAGAAAACACGUGAAAUUCGUGUUCACCAUAAGCCUAAGGUUUCCUGAUCAACGCAAAUCGGAUCAGGGUUAGUCGGCCCCUAAGACGAGGCCGAAAGGCGUAGUCGAUGGGAAUCAGGCAAAUUUUAAUAUUCCUGAACCACCGAAACUUAACCCGGGAGCACCAUUGCCCAGAUGUGUUGACCUUAUUGAUUUGGUUAACAUAAGCAAGCAGUGGCAAGAAAAAACCCGGUGUAUGCUAAGGUGACCGUACCGUAAACCGACACAGGUAGGCGAGGAGAGUAUCCUAAGGUGCUUGAGAGAACAAUGGUCAAGGAACUCGGCAAAUUGACUCCGUAACUUCGGGAGAAGGAGUUCCCGAUCUUUGAUUGGGACGCAGUGAAAAGGGGGGAGCGACUGUUUACUAAAAACACAGGUCCAUGCUAACACGUAAGUGGACAUAUAUGGACUGACACCUGCCCGGUGCCGGAAGGUUAAGAGGAUUUGUUAUUCUGACUUGUCAGAAGAAGCUUAGAAUUGAAGCCCCGGUAAACGGCGGCCGUAACUAUAACGGUCCUAAGGUAGCGAAAUUCCUUGUCGGGUAAGUUCCGACCUGCACGAAUGGUGCAACGACUUCCCCACUGUCUCGACCAUUGACUCAGCGAAAUUGUAGUAUCGGUGAAGAUGCCGGUUACUUAUAGAAGGACGGAAAGACCCCGUGAACCUUUACUAUAGCUUGAUAUUGGCUUUUGAUUCUAUAUGUGUAGGAUAGGUGGGAGACUUUGAAGCUUUAACGCCAGUUGGAGUGGAGUCAUCCUUGAAAUACCACCCUUGUAUUGUCGCAAGUCUAACCUUGUACCUUGAAUCAGGUAUGGGGACAGUGUCUGGUGGGUAGUUUGACUGGGGCGGUCUCCUCCAAAACAGUAACGGAGGAGCCCAAAGGUCACCUCAGCACGGUCGGUAAUCGUGCGUAGAGUGCAAACGCAUAAGGUGGCUUGACUGCGAGUCUGACGGGACGAGCAGGUGCGAAAGCAGGGGUUAGUGAUCCGGUGGUUCCGAGUGGAAGGGCCAUCGCUAAUCGGAUAAAAGGUACUCCGGGGAUAACAGGCUUAUCUCCCCCNAGAGCUCAUAUCGACGGGGAGGUUUGGCACCUCGAUGUCGGCUCGUCNCAUCCUGGGGNUGGAGAAGNUCCCAAGGGUUGGGCUGUUCGCCCAUUAAAGCGGCACGCGAGCUGGGUUUAGAACGUCGUGAGACAGUUCGGUCCCUAUCCUCUAUAAGCGAAGGAAAUUUGAAGGGAGCUGUUCCUAGUACGAGAGGACCGGAAUGGACAAACCUCUAGUGUACCUGUUGUCACAUCAGUGGCACCGCAGGGUAGCUACGUUUGGACGGGAUAAGCGCUGAAAGCAUCUAAGCGCGAAGCCCACCCUAAGAUAAGAUUUCCCUUAU
rnacentral:rRNA from 1 species